rnacentral:rRNA from 1 species
GCAGGUCGAAGUCUGAGGCAGCAACGCCGCGUGCGCGAUGAAGGUCUUCGGAUUGUAAAGCGCUUUUACGUGGGAAGAGGAAGGACGGUACCACGUGAAUAAGGAUCGGCCAACUACGUGCCAGCAGCCGCGGUAACACGUAGGAUUCAAACGUUAUCCGGAUUUAUUGGGCGUAAAGCGCGUGUAGGUGGUUUGGUAAGUUGGAUGUGAAAGCUCCAGGCUCAACCUGGAGAGGUAAUCCAAAACUGCCAGACUAGAGGACGGUAGAGGGAGGUGGAAUUCCGGGAGUAGCGGUGAAAUGCGUAGAUACCCGGAGGAACACCAGUGGCGAAGGCGGCCUCCUGGGCCGUUCCUGACACUCAGACGCGAAAGCUAGGGGAGCGAACGGGAUUAGAAACCCCGGUAGUCCUAGCCGUAAACGAUGUAGACUUGGUGUUGGUGGGGUAAAAGCCAUCAGUGCCGUAGCUAACGCGAUAAGUCUACCGCCUGGGGAUUACGACCGCAAGGUUAAAACUCAAAGGAAUUGACGGGUCCCCGCACAAGCAGCGGAGCGUGUGGUUUAAUUCGAUGCUACGCGAAGAACCUUACCUGGGCUUGACAUAUAGGUGGUAGGAACCGAAAGGUGACCGACUUUUCGGAGAGCCUAUACAGGUGGUGCAUGGCUGUCGUCAGCUCGUGCCGUGAGGUGUCCGGUAAGUCGGUAACGAGCGCAACCCUCGCUGUAUGUUAACGGGCAUAGGGAUGCCGGAUAAAGCGGAGAAGUGGGACACUCAAUCGCAUGUCUUAUGCAGGCUACCAACCUCAUGGUCGGACAUGGUCGAAACCCGAGUGACAAUCCUAAGCGCCUCGUUCGAUGAGCUGAAUCGCUGUGAACUGAGUUGUAUAACCCCCCAACAGCGGAAAUCGUUCCGGGAUUGACACCGCCGCUCGUCUGAAGCGGAACCCCAGCGGAUCCUAUCU